rnacentral:rRNA from 1 species
GACGAACGCUGGCGGCGUGCCUAAUACAUGCAAGUAGAACGCAGUUGCGAACGGGUGAGUAACGCGUAGGUAACUGCCUCAUAGCGGGGGAUAACUCUUGGAACCGAUAGCUAAUACCGCAUACUGUGAGCUGGACCUGCGUUGUAUUAGCUUGUUGGUGAGGUAAAGGCUCACCAAGGUGACGAUACCUAUCCGACCUGAGAGGGUGAUCUGACACCAUUGGACUGAGACACGGCCCAGACUCCUGCGGGAGGCAGCAGUAGAGAAUCUUCGUCAAUGGACGGAAGUAUGACCGAGCAACGCCGCGUGAGUGAAGAAGGUAUUCGGAGCGUAAAGCUCUGUUGUUAGAGUAGCGGAAAAUAACAAGAAAGGGACGGCUAACUACGUGCCAGCAGACGCGGUAAGUC